CAGUCGCCGCGGUAAUACGAAGGGGGCUAGCGUUGCUCGGAAUGACUGGGCGUAAAGCGCACGUAGGCGGCUUUGUAAGUUAGAGGUGAAAGCCUGGAGCUCAACUCCAGAAUUGCCUUUAAGACUGCAUCGCUUGAAUCGCGGAGAGGUGAGUGGAAUUCCGAGUGUAGAGGUGAAAUUCGUAGAUAUUCGGAAGAACACCAGUGGCGAAGGCGGCUCACUGGACGCGUAUUGACGCUGAGGUGCGAAAGCGUGGGGAGCAAACAGGAUUAGAUACCCGGGUAGUCCCUGUCUCUUAUAC
rnacentral:rRNA from 1 species